rnacentral:rRNA from 1 species
UACGUAGGGGGCAAGCGUUGUCCGGAAUCAUUGGGCGUAAAGAGCGUGUAGGUGGCCCGAUCAGUCCGCCGUGAAAGUCCAGGGCUCAACCCUGGAAUGCCGGUGGAUACUGUCGGGCUGGAGUCCGGAAGAGGCGAGUGGAAUUCCUGGUGUAGCGGUGAAAUGCGCAGAUAUCAGGAGGAACACCAAUGGCGAAGGCAGCUCGCUGGGACGGUACUGACACUGAGACGCGAAAAGCGUGGGGAGCAAACAGG